rnacentral:lncRNA from 1 species
GGACUUGAAUUUUGCUGUGGGAAUGAGAAAAACAUGGGAAGCUGCUGUCUGCCAAGCUAUUUCCUUAAGGAUCCACUUUACAUGCUGCCAAAUCGAUGACCUGUCAGGUGUAGUUAUGUGGCAUAGCAAUGAUAUGAGGUCAAUCAGGUGAAACCAAGCAAGGAAAUGCCAGAUUCAGCCCUGUUCCUCCUUCACACCAUGCCAGGGCCGCACUGCAGUAGCCAUUUGGAUUGCUGCAAACAAGCUGGCAAAGAAAAACAUCCAUAUGAGAGCUGUGCGGGAUGGCAAGAUGGAGACGGGGGCUGGAGGGGACUGCGCUCUCCUGGGUAGCUGUGUUUGGGCAAACUGCAAUCUGGCCCUCAGCGUGCAUCUGCUGGCAGCAUGGGUCCAACAACAGCCCUGCCAGGGGACCCCACCGGAGGCAGCAAGCCCCAGGGACCAGACUCUCCGCUCUGGCAGAAGUGAUUAAAGCCUCUCUUGCUCUCAUCAGGACAAACAUACUGCCAGGAUCGAGGCCUGUCCUCUCCAGAGCCCAGAAGGCCCUCCUGCAGCCUUUCCCCCCUCUCCACUGGCUGCUCAUCCCUCCAGCUUUGUCCCACCUGGAUGCAUUUUCCAUCGCCGAACCGCCAGGCAGCGGGGAGUCCUCCCAGCUGCCCAGGAUCCUGCCCACCUCUCUGCAGAAGAUGCGUCACGGUCUCCCGUUGUCCUUGAGGUUGCUACUUGCAAGGCCAUUGGGGUAAAACGCUGCCCUUCCAAUCCAUUGAGGGAAGUUGCUUUACAGAUUUGAGGAUUUGGUCAUGUACAGGGAGCAGAGGAAACUGAAGUCAUGACAUGUUUCUGGUAAUGCUGGAAUAAACGCUCAUCGAAAUGACA